UCCUUCAUUCCACCGGAGUCUGUCGAAUACCUAAUCAGAUUUCAGUGGCGUGAAGUACA
rnacentral:pre_miRNA from 1 species